UACGGAGGGUGCAAGCGUUAUCCGGAUUCACUGGGUUUAAAGGGUGCGUAGGUGGGUCUGUAAGUCAGUGGUGAAAUCUCCGUGCUUAACAUGGAAACUGCCAUUGAUACUAUAGGUCUUGAAUCUUCUGGAGGUUAGCGGAAUAUGUCAUGUAGCGGUGAAAUGCUUAGAUAUGACAUAGAACACCAAUUGCGAAGGCAGCUAGCUACAGGGGUAUUGACACUGAGGCACGAAAGCGUGGGGAUCAAACAGG
rnacentral:rRNA from 1 species